rnacentral:tRNA from 1 species
GCGUCAUUAGCUCAGUGGAGAGAGCACAGGGUUGCGGGCCCUGAGGUCGGAGGUUCGAUUCCUUCAUGACGCGCCA